rnacentral:rRNA from 1 species
AUUGAACGCUGGCGGCAUGCUUUACACAUGCAAGUCGAACGGUAACAGGGAGCUUGCUCCGCUGACGAGUGGCGAACGGGUGAGUAAUGCAUCGGAACGUACCCAGUCGUGGGGGAUAACGUAGCGAAAGUUACGCUAAUACCGCAUACGUCCUGAGGGAGAAAGCGGGGGACCGUAAGGCCUCGCGCGAUUGGAGCGGCCGAUGUCGGAUUAGCUAGUUGGUAGGGUAAAGGCCUACCAAGGCGACGAUCCGUAGCGGGUCUGAGAGGAUGAUCCGCCACACUGGGACUGAGACACGGCCCAGACUCCUACGGGAGGCAGCAGUGGGGAAUUUUGGACAAUGGGCGAAAGCCUGAUCCAGCCAUGCCGCGUGAGUGAAGAAGGCCUC